UUGCGAACUUGGCUCCGUGCUGGGCUGGACGGGAGCAGCGGUCAGCAAACUACUCGGUGUGAGUGGGGGUUGUGUCGAGGUACCAGUA
rnacentral:SRP_RNA from 17 species